CACAUGCAAGUCUACUUGAAUUCUCUUCCGAGAUACUACGGUGUCGGACGGUUGAGUAACACGGAAAGAACUUGCCCUGAAGUCUGGGACAACUAUUGUGAAACGAUAGCUAAUACCGGAUAUUAUGCGUUAAGCCACAUGGCUUAUGUAUGAAAGCUAUAUGCGCUGCGAGAGAGCUUUGCGUGCCAUUAGAUAGUUGGUGAGGUAACUGCUCACCAAGACCGCGAUGGGUAGCCGGCCUGAAAGGGUGAACGGCCACGAGGGGACUGAGACACCGCCCUUACUCCUACGGCAGGCAACAGUGGGCAAUAUUGAACAAUGGACCAGAAGUCUGAUCCAGCGAUUAUGUGUGCACGAUGACGGACUUAGGAUUGUAAAAUGCUUUCCAUCAGGAAAAAGAAAGUGAUGGGACCGAUACAAGAAGCGACCGCUAAAUACGAUGCCAGCACCCGUAGUAAUACGUAUGUCGCAAGCGUUAUCCGGAUUUAUUGGGAUCAAAGCGCGUCUAGGCGGGUUGGUCCGUCUUGAUGUGGAAAUGCGGGGCUCAACUCCGGUAUUGGUUGGAAACUGCCAGACUAGAGUACUGGAGAGGUAGAGCGAAAUACAAGUGUAGAGGUGAAAAUCGUAGAUAUUAGUAGGAAUCCCGAUAGAGAAGUCAGCUCAUUGGACAGAUACUGACGCUGAAGCGUGAAAGCAUGGGGAGCAAACAGGAUUAGAUACCCUGGUAGUCCAUGCCGUAAACGAUGAUUACUAAGCGUCGGGGGUCGAACCUCGGCACUCAAGCUAACGCGAUAAGUAAUCCGCCUGGGGAGUACGUACGCAAGUAUGAAACUCAAAGGAAUAGACGGGGAGCCGCACAACUGGUGGAGCAUGUGGUGUAAUUCGAUGCAACGCGAGGAACAUUACCAGCGUUUGUCAUCAUAGGAAUGAGAAAGAGAUUUUUCAGUGCUCUUUUGGGAGAACAUAGAGACAGGUGGUGCAUGGCUGUUGUCAGCUCGUGUCGUGAGAUGUUGGGUUAAGUCCCGCAACGAGCGCAACCCCUAUUGUAUGUUGCCAUCAUUAAGUUGGGCACUCAUGCGAUACUGCCUGCGACGAGCAGGAGGAAGGUGGGGAUGACGUCAAGUCAUCAUGCCCCUUAUAUGCUGGACUACACACGUGCUACAAUGGGCAGUACAGAGAGAAGCGAAUCCGCGAGGAGGAGCAAACCUCAGAAAGCUGUUCGCAGUUCGGAUUGUAGUCUGCAACUCGAGUACAUGAAGUUGGAAUCACUAGUAAUCGCAAAUCAGCAAUUUUGCGGGGAAUACGUUCUCGGGUCUUGUACACACCGCCCGUCACACCACGAGAGUUGAUUGCACCUGAAGUAGCAGGCCUAACCUCAAGGAAGGAUGCUCCGAGGGUGUGGUUAACGAUUGGGGUGAAGU
rnacentral:rRNA from 1 species